UUAAACCUCUUUGAUUUAUGUGAAUAUUCUCCUCUGUUAUCUUUUCAAGUUUUCCAAUUUGUUUAUUAUUUUUUUUUUACUGUUUUAAAGCAAAGACAAUUGUGUUGAAUCUCUUUGAUAAUUUAGUGUCUAUAUCUUUGGAAACAUCUUUCAGUUUAUUUUAUUUUGCUUUUAUCUUAUCUCUUUUGAGUUAUUCCCUUUUCUAAGAUGUCCUCUAGAUCAAAUAUUGAUAUGGAAAACUAGUUGGUAGUCAUCAUUGAAGGACUUGUUGACUUUGAAGAGAUGAUGGCCCACAACUUUGAUC
rnacentral:lncRNA from 1 species